rnacentral:lncRNA from 1 species
UAUUUUGGAUUUUCCGGCGCUUGCUCUCAGUCCGGUCACGCCGCUGAUUCCUGACCCGUUUGAUCGAUCUGGGUUGGCGAACUGUAGCUAUUUGAAGAAUGGGAAUGGUAAGUUAGAUGCCGAGGCGGAAGAGAAAGCGAUUAAAGAAAAGGGGUUUUACUUGCAUCCAUCGCCGACCACCACUCCUCGGGACUCUGAGCCUCGGUUGUUGCCUCUGUUCCCAUUGACAUCUCCCAGAGUACCAGGUUCAUCUUCCACUUCAUGAAUUUCUC